rnacentral:lncRNA from 1 species
UGCUUCCCCAUUCUAUGUGAAGCAUAAAGCUACCAUGAGUUUCCUCACUGGUUUUGCUCAGGUGGUUGUUGUUGCUUACAAGAACAGGACACUCCCUUUCCCUAGUACUGGAACUGGAUCCUAUCAUUGCGGCAAAGGCUCCACCUUUAUUGCUCCUACCAAGAAACUAAGGUACCACCAUUCACAACUUUAUUCAAACUUAAACCAUUUGUUCAAUGUCACACAUGUUUACUCAAGAGCUAGCUUGGAUGUUUACUGUCAUGAAAAGUUCAGAUUGGUGUUUUAUAUUAUAACAUGCCAAGAAACUAAGGUACCACCUUUAUUGCUCCUACCAAGAAACUAAGGUACCACCAUUCACAACUUUAUUCAAACUUAAACCAUUUGUUCAAUGUCACACAUGUUUACUCAAGAGCUAGCUUGGAUGUUUACUGUCAUGAAAAGUUCAGAUUGGUGUUUUAUAUUAUAACAUGCC